AGAAGCUUGGCUGUGUGAAAUGAAUGAAGCUAGCUAAACUAAAUUAACUACAUGUUAGCAGAGAGUAAAACAAUAAGUGUUUGCGCUGUGCGGUAUGUUCUGUUACUAUUUGUUGUUCGGUUAAAGCGAGCGAAGGUGGAAGUUGGCUGUGACGCAGAAAACGGUCACAACAUUACGGACUGCAGUGGGCGUGGAGUUGUUUUGACAAGACCGACAUACACCUAUACACCUGAUGAACAGGAGCGGUCAUAGCUUCCCAUUCGGCGGUUAAGGGGAAAUUUAAGGGAAACUUAAAGCUGACGUUAGCUUCCGGCAAAAAGACAUUUCUCUAAGCCACCGACCAAUACUAGGCCUAUUCACAUCUUUCCAAGCAAGAUAAAUCAACCGUUUGCUUGCAGUAAACACAUAUCUUGAUCCAAGAGGGGAAACAAGGUACCCGCUGGCACUGAAUAGUCUCUCAGAUGGAACACUGGUUGCUGGGAUACA